rnacentral:lncRNA from 1 species
CCCAGCACUUUGGGAGGCCAAGGCAGGUGGAUCACGAGGUCAGGAGAUCGAGACCAUCCUGGUCAAUAUGGUGAAACCCUGUCUCUACUAAAAAUAUAAAAAUUAGCUGGGUGUGGUGGCAUGCACCUAUAGUUCCAGCUCCUUGGGAGGCUUAAGCAGGAGAAUCACUUGAACUCGGGAGGCAGAGGUUGCAGUGAGCCGAGAUUGUGCCACUGCACUCCAGCCUGGUGACAGAGUGAGACUCCAUCUCAAAAAAAAAAAAAAAAUUGUUGAGGGCUCUAUCUGCCACUCUGAUUGUAGACUAGGGGAGAACAUGGCUUGGUCAGGUAUGAAGUGGAAGAGGAAUAAUGAAAAGAACCACCCAGGCCUGCAGUGCAGGUCAGAUGACCCUCGGCCUUCUUUACCUUAGGUGGCCCAUGAGGGCGACCUCAGUAAUUUUCUUGUUCUGAAUGUCCAGGGUGAGUCUGUAAGACGUUUUGCCCUCAGUAGAUUCAUCAUUAACUCUGAGGAUUGUUCCGAGGUCUGGUAGCCUCAGUCUGCUUCGCACCUGGACGAGUGUAUAAGAGAAUCAAGAGAUGUGUGGUAAGA